CCUACGGGGGGCAGCAGUAGGGAAUUUUCGUCAAUGGGCGCAAGCCUGAACGAGCAAUGCCGCGUGAACGAGGAAGGUCUUCGGAUCGUAAAGUUCUGUUGAAGGGGAAAAAGAGCGGAGAGAGGAAAUGAACUCCGAUUGAUAUUACCCUUCGAGGAAGUCACGGCUAACUACGUGCCAGCAGCCGCGGUAAUAUGUAGGUGGCGAGCGUUAUCCGGAAUGAUUGGGCGUAAAGGGUGCGUAGGCGGCCUGCUCAGUCGGGGGUGAAAGGUACCGGCUCAACCGGUAUAGGCUCUGGAAACUGGCGGGCUAGAGAGCAGGAGAGGGCGGUGGAACUCCAUGUGUAGCGGUAAAAUGCGUAGAUAUAUGGAAGAACACCAGUGGCGAAGGCGGCCGCCUGGCCUGUGACUGACGCUGAGGCACGAAAGCGUGGGGAGCAAAUAGGAUUAGAUACCCGAGUAGUC
rnacentral:rRNA from 1 species